rnacentral:tRNA from 1 species
UGCACCCGUAGCUCAGCUGGAUAGAGCGCUGCCCUCCGAAGGCAGAGGCCACAGGUUCGAAUCCUGUCGGGUGC